CCUACGGGUGGCAGCAGUGGGGAAUAUUGGACAAUGGGGGGAACCCUGAUCCAGCCAUGCCGCGUGUGUGAAGAAGGCCCUCGGGUUGUAAAGCACUUUCAGUGAGGAAGAACGCCUGGUGGUUAAUACCCAUCGGGAAAGACAUCACUCACAGAAGAAGCACCGGCUAACUCCGUGCCAGCAGCCGCGGUAAUACGGAGGGUGCGAGCGUUAAUCGGAAUUACUGGGCGUAAAGCGCGCGUAGGUGGCUUGAUAAGCCGGUUGUGAAAGCCCCGGGCUCAACCUGGGAACGGCAUCCGGAACUGUCAAGCUAGAGUGCAGGAGAGGAAGGUAGAAUUCCCGGUGUAGCGGUGAAAUGCGUAGAGAUCGGGAGGAAUACCAGUGGCGAAGGCGGCCUUCUGGACUGACACUGACACUGAGGUGCGAAAGCGUGGGUAGCAAACAGGAUUAGAUACCCGUGUAGUC
rnacentral:rRNA from 1 species